CCUACGGGAGGCUGCAGUGAGGAAUAUUGGUCAAUGGACGCAAGUCUGACCCAGCCAUGCCGCGUGCAGGAAGACGGCUCUAUGAGUUGUAAACUGCUUUUGUCCGGAGGUAAACGCAGAUACGCGUAUCUGUCUGAAAGUCUCGUACGAAUAAGGAUCGGCUAACUCCGUGCCAGCAGCCGCGGUAAGACGGAGGAUUCAAGCGUUAUCCGGAUUUAUUGGGUUUAAAGGGUGCGUAGGCGGUCGGAUAAGUUAGAGGUGAAAUCCAGAGGCUCAACUUCGGAAUUGCCUCUGAUACUGUGCGGCUAGAGAGUAGUUGCGGUAGGCGGAAUGUAUGGUGUAGAGGUGAAAUGCUUAGAGAUCAGACAGAACACCGAUUGCGAAGGCAGCUUACCAAGCUACUUCUGACGUUGAGGCACGAAAGCGUGGGGAGCAAACAGGAUUAGAUACCCGGGUAGUC
rnacentral:rRNA from 1 species